AGAACGAACGCUGGCGGCAGGCCUAAUACAUGCAAGUCGAACGAUGUAGCAAUACAUAGUGGCGCACGGGUGAGUAACGCGUGGGAAUCUGCCCAUUAGUACGGAAUAACUGCGGGAAACUGCAGCUAAUACCGUAUACGCCCUUCGGGGGAAAGAUUUAUCGCUAAUGGAUGAGCCCGCGUAAGAUUAGCUAGUUGGUGGGGUAAAAGCCUACCAAGGCUACGAUCUUUAGCUGGUCUGAGAGGACGACCAGCCACACUGGAACUGAGACACGGUCCAGACUCCUACGGGAGGCAGCAGUAGGGAAUAUUGGACAAUGGGGGAAACCCUGAUCCAGCCAUGCCGCGUGAGUGAUGAAGGCCUUAGGGUUGUAAAGCUCUUUUACCAGGGAAGAUAAUGACGGUACCUGGAGAAUAAGUUCCGGCUAACUUCGUGUCAGCAGCCGC
rnacentral:rRNA from 1 species